rnacentral:rRNA from 1 species
ACGGAGGGUGCAAGCGUUAAUCGGAAUUACUGGGCGUAAAGCGCACGCAGGCGGUUUGUCAAGUCAGAUGUGAAAUCCCCGGGCUCAACCUGGGAACUGCAUCUGAUACUGGCAAGCUUGAGUCUCGUAGAGGGGGGUAGAAUUCCAGGUGUAGCGGUGAAAUGCGUAGAGAUCUGGAGGAAUACCGGUGGCGAAGGCGGCCCCCUGGACGAAGACUGACGCUCAGGUGCGAAAGCGUGGGGAGCAAACAG